UCGAUGUGUACGCAUCGUUUUCGACGUGUUCAACUAUUUUUAAAAAUUCUGUUGACUUUUUUUUUUAAUUUUUUUUUUUCCUUAAUGACGUCAUUAGUCAUUUUUGAAAAAAAUUUUUUUUUUCAACCGGCGUCUACGCAAGUUGAAAAAAUUAAUUUUUUUUUUUAAAUUUUUUUGUCAACCCAAUUAAAUAUACAAGUCAACAGUAUUUUUAUAUAUUAAUUAGUGUUGAUUGUUUAGAUAGAUUAUCAAUGGAUUCCAACGAGGAAAAAUUAUUUUCUGAUGUCUUGACUGGGAAGGAAGGAUGGAACCAAAGAACACUGACCAGCCUCAAUGAACUGCUAGCUGUCAUCCUACCAGCUGAUCAACUGGCAUCGUUCGGCAGGGAAAUAAAGUUAUUUCUCUGUUGAGGUUUAGGUACAUAGUUUGGAUUUACUUUUUGGUAGAUCUUUUAUGACGUGUCUAAUCUAGAGUCCACUGGAAUCUAUACUGACAUGACUGGCCUAUGAGGACCAGAAUAAUUUCAAGGACAGUGAUGCUGCUGAGCAUUGACGACAAGGUGGUCCAGAUCCAAGGACACACCGCCGCUCUAAUUAUUUUUUUCUGUUUCAGAUCCAGUCAACAAGAAGGAUGCCCAACUUGAAGGAUGCCCAGGGAUGCCAAGGACCAAGAGGAGGACCAGAACCAGGACCAGGACCAGGACCAGGACCAGGAAGAUUAGUUAUUAAUUUUAUUUAAGCUUAAUUUUAAUUUCUAUUAUAUAAUUAUUGUAUUAUGGUGUGAGUGUGAUGGAUGAUGUAGGAGUGAUUUAUAAUUUAAGAUUUUAAUUUAUAAUUUUUUUUGUAAGAAUGAGUACGAGUGGCAUGUUUUUAUUAUUGCUUGGCUUGUGCAUGGUUUUUUUUUUUUUUUAAUUCGGGUUUGAUUGCAUGGUUUUGGUUGUUUAUGUUUAAUUUAAUUUUUUCCCCUUUCUCCCAUUACCUCUUAAUUUUAAGUUUGUAUGAUUAUUAUUUAAUUGUAUGAUGAAUGUGUGUGAUGUUUUUUAUUGCGAUAUCCGGGCCUGGGUAUUAUUUUUAAGUCUUAAUUUUAAGAAAUUUUAUUUAUAAAAUUUCAGUAUUUAUAUUCUUUAUGUAUUUAUUUUCGUAAUUUUGUACUGUAUAAUAUUUUGUAUUUAUUGUCAUUUAGCUUUUUUGUUGGUCACCAAUCGAGUGACCACUGUGUUGGUCGGGUUUUAUCACUGAUAAAAUCCUCCGAUUUAAACCGAUAGAUUCCGGGUCUAUCGGAUUUUUAUCGGAGUAUUUUAUCAGUGUCGAGGUUUCCCAAACGGGCUAUUUUCUUUCUACCAAAAGAAAAUAGCUUAGACCACUACAAUUGUAUUUUUAAAUAAAUACAAUUGUAGGUGAAUGCGCACAGUAUAGGAAGUCGGUCCUC